rnacentral:rRNA from 1 species
GACGAACGCUGGCGGCGUGCUUAACACAUGCAAGUCGAACGGAAAGGCCCUGCUUUUGUGGGUUGCUCGAGUGGCGAACGGGUGAGUAACACGUGAGUAACCUGCCCUUGACUGUGGGAUAACUUCAGGAAACUGGGGCUAAUACCGGAUAGGAGCUCCUGCUGCAUGGUGGGGGUUGGAAAGUUUCGGCGGUUGGGGAUGGACUCGCGGCUUAUCAGCUUGUUGGUGGGGUAGUGGCUUACCAAGGCUUUGACGGGUAGCCGGCCUGAGAGGGUGACCGGCCACAUUGGGACUGAGUUACGGCCCAGACUCCUACGGGAGGCAGCAGUGGGGAAUAGUGCACAAUGGGCGGAAGCCGGAUGCAGCAACGCCGCGUGCGGGAUGACGGCCUUCGGGUUGUAAACCGCUUUCGCCUGUGACGAAGCGUGAGUGACGGUAAUGGGUAAAGAAGCACCGGCUAACUACGUG